ACGGGUGCGUAACGCGUAUGCAACCUACCUUUAACAGGGGGAGUAACACUGAGAAAUUGGUACUAAUACCCCAUAAUAUGGGCGCUCCGCAUGGAGAGUCCAUUAAAGAGAGCAAUCUUGGUUACAGACGAGCAUGCGCUCCAUUAGCCAGUUGGCGGGGUAACGGCCCACCAAGGCGACGAUGGAUAGGGGUUCUGAGAGGAAGGUCCCCCACAUUGGAACUGAGACACGGUCCAA
rnacentral:rRNA from 1 species